AUGAACUCAUGCCGCGCAUCAGCUGCUUGUAGUCCGCACUGUUUCCGUGGAGCUGACGGCAAUCUGCUCGCGCUACAGGACCAGUGUGAAGGACGACAGUUUCCACCCAUUUCAUCAUCAUCUCGGAAAUCAAGGUCUCAUGUGAAGUACCUCUUUUUGGCUCUUAAAGGGAGAGGCCUGCAGUUUGACCCGCUGACACUGCACCAGUUGCGCCAGGUCGACUCUGAUAGCAGAAUAAAUGACCAUGUGGAUCACUGAAGACUCAAAUAAACUCUUAUUCCAUCCAGCACAGACUCGAGUUUUCAUUUUUCACCGUUAUUGCCAGAGUGUCUUCGCAGGCAUUGCUUUGAGCCACAUUAUAUUUCCUGUAGCACUAUCAGAUGUGCUCUAAUCUUAAAGAGAUAGUGCACCCAAAAAUGAAACUUCUUUCAUCAUCCACUCACUCUCUUGUUGCGCAAAAAACACACAGGAUUCUUUUUCCUUUUGGUGCAACACAAAAGGAACAAAGUGUCUACACUGUUCUUUUCUGUAAAAUGGGAUGAUGGUCUGUCGAGCUCAAAAAAAUGACACAUAAAAGCACCAUUAAUGUAUCCAUAUUCUAUAUUCUAAGUCAUACGACAGCUUUGUGUGAGGAACAGUCUGAAAUUGAAAUCGUUGUCUGUUUGUUCGUUCUCCUUUUGUGUUGCAUCUAUGAAAAAAAAUGAUAUGAGAGUCAGCCAAUGACAUAUAUGGCUGGUUAUCAAGUCAAAUUGAUUGUUGCCUUACUGUUUAUUCACACUUGCGCAGCUGUAACAUA
rnacentral:lncRNA from 12 species